rnacentral:rRNA from 1 species
AACGAACGCUGGCGGCAUGCCUAACACAUGCAAGUCGAACGAGACCUUCGGGUCUAGUGGCGCACGGGUGCGUAACGCGUGGGGACCUGCCCUUAGGUUCGGAAUAACUCCCCGAAAGGGGUGCUAAUACCGGAUAAUGUCUUCGGACCAAAGAUUUAUCGCCUUUGGAUGGGCCCGCGUUGGAUUAGCUAGUUGGUAGGGUAAAAGCCUACCAAGGCGACGAUCCAUAGCUGGUCUGAGAGGAUGAUCAGCCACACUGGGACUGAGACACGGCCCAGACUCCUACGGGAGGCAGCAGUAGGGAAUAUUGGACAAUGGGCGAAAGCCUGAUCCAGCAAUGCCGCGUGAGUGAUGAAGGCCUUAGGGUUGUAAAGCUCUUUUACCCGGGAUGAUAAUGACAGUACCGGGAGAAUAAGCUCCGGCUAACUCCGUG